rnacentral:rRNA from 1 species
GAUGAACGCUGGCGGCGUGCCUAAUACAUGCAAGUCGAGCGAACAGACGAGGAGCUUGCUCCUCUGACGUUAGCGGCGGACGGGUGAGUAACACGUGGAUAACCUACCUAUAAGACUGGGAUAACUUCGGGAAACCGGGGCUAAUACCGGAUAAUAUAUUGAACCGCAUGGUUCAAUAGUGAAAGACGGUUUUGCUGUCACUUAUAGAUGGAUCCGCGCCGCAUUAGCUAGUUGGUAAGGUAACGGCUUACCAAGGCAACGAUGCGUAGCCGACCUGAGAGGGUGAUCGGCCACACUGGAACUGCGACACGGUCCAGACUCCUACGGGAGGCAGCAGUAGGGAAUCUUCCGCAAUGGGCGAAAGCCUGACGGAGCAACGCCGCGUGAGUGAUGAAGGUCUUCGGAUCGUAAAACUCUGUUAUUAGGGAAGAACAAAUGUGUAAGUAACUAUGCACGUCUUGACGGUACCUAAUCAGAAAGCCACGGCUAACUACGUG